UUAGAAAUGUUUUAUCAAUCAAAUUAGACAAAUAGCAAAGUGGAGAAAAUAUACGAUCCACGUACUAUAUUUUAGCAAGAAGAUAAGGGAUAUAGUAUUAACAGAUUACUUCAAAGGUCCAAAAAUUUAUAUUCAUGGCAAUCACAAAAGAGAUGACAGUAAAAAUGACUAAAAUCAAUGGCAAUCUUUAACAUAAUUCAUAUGUAAAAACGAACUAACCAAUCCAAAAUUCAUUGAAAUCAAACACG
rnacentral:misc_RNA from 1 species